UCUGAUAUAUUUCACAACCGUACUCUGAUCCCAGGAGAAAGAUUGGGUAAGAAACACUGAUCUUUCUUACAUAUCUGUCUGCAAAGUUUUCAGUAGUCCUCUUUUACUAGCGAUCUCUCCUGGAUUAGGUGAGCAAAUUGCCUAAUUGUUUCAGUGGAUUGCUUUAAUUGGUUCUCAUCCAAGCAGCAGAGGGGAUGUAGGAGCACAGCAUUUAACCGAGAGGAAAACAGCAUGUGGGAUGGGAGAAGGAAGGUACACCAUGAAGUUACCCUUGAAGACACCAUGAAGUGUGCAAAAUUUGCAGAUCUUCAUUUGCCAAGGAAAUGUGCUGAACCCAUAUAUGUGUGUGGAAUGGGACAAGGCACCUCCAGCAUGGGGGCCAGCUUCUUCCAAGCUGUCCUAUUACAUUUGCUGGAGCCCAGGAACCAGGGAGAGCCCACUUCACUGCCUGACUUCUCAAGAAUUGCAGAAUAGGCCUGUGCAACAUGAACCUGUCUGUUUCUACUGGGACCUGUCCAAGGGAUGGCUUCUUACCAUAUCUGGCCUGUCUGGAUCACAGUUACACCUACUGGUGUAUUUUCUGUGCCAUCAUUUUUCUGCUGUUUUCUAUGGUUUACUAUACAUUUCUCUGCUUUCUUUUUCUUUUUUCUUCCUAUACUCCUGCUAUUCUUGCAACAUGUGCAAAAAAGUGAACAAAAAUUAUUGCAGGACUUGAUGUGGCUACAUGGCCAUUUUUCCGCAAAUAUUUUCAAAAUAAAUAUAUUUAAUAUUAAAAAAAAAAAUCCUGUCUGCCUUUAAAACCUGUAGUGUCCUGAUUUGUGUUUCACGUAAAAUCAUGUGUCUUCAGCCAGUGUUAACAGAUUGAUUAUUGCCUUAAGUGGCAGAAGAAAAGAAAAAAUGAUGGAACCAUAUCUCCCUCUAACACCUGAGUUCUGGAGGUCACAAGAGAUGUCAUACCUGCAGCUGUGUCCCUGUGGUCCCAGCUUUUAAUUUUUAAACAGAAAUAUUAUCUCCCAAUCUCAG